UAACAUAGAUACUUUCAAGGGUUGGAUAAAAUCUCGAAGGGCAAAAAGUGCUGUAUGAAGUAUGUAUCGCACUAUACAAAAUACCAGUAUAUAAUGUGUGCGAAAAGAAUAUGGGCAACAUUUUCUGAGGUACCACAAACAGGUCAUAAAUCGAGAGGAAUCUUCCUAGGACCCAGCACUGGAGACUAUCUAUAAGUGUCUAUAAAGCAGUGAGUAUGACAUUUUUUCACUCACUUGGCUUUAGGGUUGAAAGCUUUGAGUUUUAAAAUUAAAAGAUUGUAACACGGGUAGACCUCCUAGCCUAACCCCAAGGAACCUCACCAAGGAGCCUGUUCCUAGACCCCAACCCUGAAGCAUAUAUUGCUCUAAAAACUUCACAGCUUCAAAGUUUUUUUCUUUUUUUUUUCCAAUUCUAUAUCCAAAACUACAUACUGGAGAAAUAAAAACCAAGAUCUUGAAGUAAGGUAAAGUUGGGGACAUUCACUAAACCUUCAUGUACCCUCUAUGCUCAUCUCUGUCAAAGUGUCCCUUGAGCUUGUGGCAGGAAAUACCCCAUCACCUCAGGGCACAGGGCCGUGUGACAUCCCAGUUACCACAGUUUGUCUUCCCCAAUACACAUUUAUUAACAAGCUCAAAAGGGAGAAUGAACAGUUGGGUGAUAAUUAUCCAAUUGCUCAAAUCUCAAGCUCUCAAGACAAACACUGAAAUUAAUCUGGAACACUUAUUUGCUUAUAUUUAGUGCUGGGGAUUGUUGAGGAAAGGGCAGCCUACUAGAUAAUUUUGAGACAAUGGCUAUUUAUUUCUGGGCAAAAUAUGAUGCUUUAUUUAUUAUGGAGAUAGUUUUAUUUUCUGGAAAUCACUAAUUGAAUAACUCUCCAAUGCCUGAGGUGCACCCGCCACCACCCCGCUCCCACCCGUUUUUUAGCGGCCAGAGUAGUGGACCACCCCCACCGCGCCCCCGCCCAGCACUGUGUAGUUCCAACGCACACCGCAGGCCCAAUAAAUGUACACCAAACUAAUCUAUCCUUCUUAGCUGGAGGCUUUGCCCCCUCAACCCUCUUAUUGUUUACCGCUGAUGAGGUUUCAGGCCCUGGUCCGCCGCCGUAGCAGCGUUCCACAGGGCCGCCAGCAAUAUAACAGUACUAAUAGCACCUUAAGUUGUCCUCAAUCCUCAUAUUUGUAAAGUCAUAGGAUUUAUUGAAUAAGUGAGUCUUCAGCGCUUUCUUGAAAAUUGCCAGACUGCCACUCUUCUUAACAUCCCCGGGUAACUCAUUACAGAGCCGCGGGGCACUCUUCUCAAAUGCUCUGAAACCCAGUUCCAGGUUGACCCUGGGUUCAUAGUCUGUACUGUUCUGUACUGUGUCUCACUGACAUGGCAGUGUCCAAAUGCAAAUCCCGUAGUAAAUUUCUCAUGUAUCCAGGUUUACCAAGUCGCUUUGCUUGAUAAGUCAAGACACAUAUUUUGUAGACUAUUCGUGCCUUAAUGGGCAGCCAAUGCAAGUCUAUAAGUGCAGGUGUUCUUCUCUCACAGGGCAGCAGACCCUUUAUUAGCCUUGCCUUAAUGGGUAGCCAAUGCAAGUCUAUAAGUGCAGGUGUUAUUCUCUCACGGGGCAGCAGACCCUUUAUCAGCCUUGCCUUAAUGGGUAGCCAAUGCAAGUCUAUAAGUGCAGGUGUUCUUCUCUCACGGGGCAGCAGACCCUUUGUUAGCCUUGCCUUAAUGGGUAGCCAAUGCAAGUCUAUAAGUGCAGGUGUUCUUCUCUCACAGGGCAGCAGACCUUUUAUCAGCCUUUGUGAUGGGUCUGCCCCCUUCCACUACUGCACUGCCUUCAGGGCCCAAAGAAGAGCCAUAACGUACGGAUUCACCCAACAAGAGGCGGUCUACCACAACUACCACAACUACCACACUUAUUCAUAAUUCAACUACCUGGUUUAAUUUAUUUACUGAACUCUCUUCCUUUCCUGACAAACCCUAGAAUAACACCCCCAUGUUCUCUUCACAGAUAUUAUGUACUUGUGUUUUGUGAUGUCCUUCCCUUGGGGGUCGGCUUUCUGUGGCAAUAUUAACAAUGACAGACAUUUACUGCGCCUCCACAAAACAGACAUGGAACACAGAAAAACACAAGACAAGGCGAGGCAGCCAAACCUAACAGACAGUGACACUUUCCUCCCCAACACAGAGAAAAACCUUGACCAUUACGAGCAAAAGACGUCCCUCCCACACCACCAUCACCGCCCCGCCCUCGACAAACUUCACAGACACUCCUUAUUUAGCCAUUUUCCUUCACUUUAAACCUCGGUAGGCCUAUGGUAUU